CGUUGGUGAACCAGCGGAGGGAUCAUUACUGAGUUUACGCUCAUAACCCUUUGUGAACAUACCUACAAUCGUUGCUUCGGCGGUGCGGGCCCCCAGCGGCCCUCCAGGCCCCCCCCCCUCCCCGGGGCGGGGGGCGCCCGCCGGAGGCCAAUACACUCCAGUCUCUGAACGAAGUCUCUUCUGAGUGGCACGAGCAGGAAUUUAUCAAAACCUUUAACAACGGAUCUCUUGGUUCUGGCAUCGAUGAAGAACGCAGCGAAAUGCGAUAAGUAAUGUGAAUUGCAGAAUUCAGUGAAUCAUCGAAUCUUUGAACGCACAUUGCGCCCGCCAGCAUUCUGGCGGGCAUGCCUGUUCGAGCGUCAUUUCAACCCUCAAGCACUUCUUGGCGUUGGGGCGCCGCGGAAACGCGGGCCCCCAAAUACAGCGGCGGACGCUCCCGGAGCCUCCUUUUGCGUAGUAACCAAACACCUCGCACCAGGACCCGGGGCGCACCGGCCGUAAAACACCCCAAACCUCGCAAGG
rnacentral:misc_RNA from 1 species